rnacentral:rRNA from 1 species
UAAGGAAUAUUGGACAAUGGUCGCAAGACUGAUCCAGCCAUGCCGCGUGCAGGAAGACGGCCCUAUGGGUUGUAAACUGCUUUUGUACCAGAGAAAACCUAUCUACGUGUAGAUAGCUGAUAGUAUGGUAAGAAUAAGCAUCGGCUAACUUCGUGCCAGCAGCCGCGGUAAGACGAAGGAUGCAAGCGUUAUCCGGAUUCAUUGGGUUUAAAGGGUGCGUAGGCGGGCUUGUAAGUCAGUGGUGAAAUCUCUCAGCUUAACUGAGAAACUGCCAUUGAUACUGCAGGCCUAGAGUAUAGAUGACGUUGGCGGAAUAUGACAUGUAGUGGUGAAAUACUUAGAUAUGUCAUAGAACACCGAUUGCGAAGGCAGCUGACGAAACUAUAACUGACGCUGAGGCACGAAAGUGCGGGGAUCAAACA